CGAACGGGUGAGUAACACGUGGGCAACCUGCCCUCAGCUUCGGGAUAACACUUGGAAACAGGUGCUAAUACCGGAUAAUAACUGGUCAUCGCAUGGUGGUUGGUUCAAAGUUUUUCGGCUGAGGAUGGGCCCGCGGCCUAUCAGCUUGUUGGUGGGGUAAUGGCCUACCAAGGCGACGACGGGUAGCCGGCCUGAGAGGGCGACCGGCCACACUGGGACUGAGACACGGCCCAG
rnacentral:rRNA from 1 species